AGGAAUGUGGCUUAGUGGUAGAGUGCUUGCCUAGCAUGCAUGAAGCCGUGGGUUCGAUUCCUCAGUACCA
rnacentral:tRNA from 1 species